CAGCACAUCGCUACGUCUUCUUCAGCUACGCAGAGGUCAGGGGUGCUUUCACCAAUAAGUCCUGCAACUGUAUUCUUAUUUAAAUUCUGACAAAAUGAAAGGUUACUUCUCCAAACUGGAUUUUCAGUGGAAACAGGAGGUUUUAGAGAAGAAGACCAACUCUGGGCAGCACAACCUGAACAUCAGCGUCCACAACCCAAAGGUGAUGGAGAAGCGGGAGAUUUUAAAGACCUUGUUGAUGCAAACUGCCCCCAUGGAUUUCAUAUACAAUAAAGGCUCGUUGGGAGGAGAGGACCGUACCCUGAGAAGACGAGCAUCAAACAUAUUCGGUGUCCUCGUUCUCCUGUCAUUUAUGAAACAAAAACUGAAUGGACUCCAACAACAUCAGUGCUGUGAAAAUGAACCUCUUCUUUAAACUUACAUUGAGUUUCUCACUGCUCUGCAAACUUAAUGAAACAUCGAACAAAAUAAUUAUGUUCUUGUCUUGGUUUGGGAAACAUUUUGUAAUCAAUUUUAGUUACAUCAUUCAUAGUCUUUGCAAUUGUGUUUUCACUGUUCCUCAUCCUCUAUAAUUGAUUGGUUUAUCUCUCUAUUAACUCUUCAUUGUUUUAUUAUUAAUAUUAAAUGGAAAAAUCAAACUUCUGCUCAAACCAGGCUAGAGAUGGAAGAGACUUUGUUUUCGUUGCCCCUAAAUUAUAAUCAUUUCAUUUGUUAAAGUUCCUUCAUUGUGAGUGAACUUCUUUUACUACUUUGUAUUUCCACCCCUCAAUCUUUUUUCUGAUAAAACAAUGAAAAAUACUUUCUAACCUUCACUUAAAGUUCACUUGUAUGACAUGUUAAGCAGUAAAGUUAGUUUUCUAGACCUCA